rnacentral:rRNA from 1 species
CCUACGGGGGGCAGCAGUGGGGAAUAUUGGACAAUGGGCGAAAGCCUGAUCCAGCCAUGCCGCGUGAGUGAUGACGGCCCUAGGGUUGUAAAGCUCUUUCGCAGGUGAAGAUAAUGACGGUAACCUGAGAAGAAGCCCCGGCUAACUUCGUGCCAGCAGCCGCGGUAAUACGAAGGGGGCUAGCGUUGUUCGGAAUUACUGGGCGUAAAGCGCACGUAGGCGGACUAUUAAGUCAGGGGUGAAAUCCCGGGGCUCAACCCCGGAACUGCCUUUGAUACUGGUAGUCUCGAGUCCGAGAGAGGUGAGUGGAAUUCCGAGUGUAGAGGUGAAAUUCGUAGAUAUUCGGAGGAACACCAGUGGCGAAGGCGGCUCACUGGCUCGGUACUGACGCUGAGGUGCGAAAGCGUGGGGAGCAAACAGGAUUAGAUACCCGUGUAGUCCAA